UGGGCGCAAGCCUGAUGCAGCCAUGCCGCGUGUAUGAAGAAGGCCUUCGGGUUGUAAAGUACUUUCAGCGGGGAGGAAGGUGUUGUGGUUAAUAACCGCAGCAAUUGACGUUACCCGCAGAAGAAGCACCGGCUAACUCCGUGCCAGCAGCCGCGGUAAUACGGAGGGUGCAAGCGUUAAUCGGAAUUACUGGGCGUAAAGCGCACGCA
rnacentral:rRNA from 1 species